CAUCGAUUCUAAGCCAAACUGCUGUACUUGCAGGCAAUGGUGAAGGAGAUGCUCUCAAUGCACUCGCCGAUCCCGCUGUUGGUUCCCCAAAUGAACCUUGACGCGGCGAAGUUCGGUUGGUACGAAAUCCCCAAGCAGACGAAGGUCAUCGUGAACACAUGGUGACCGGGGAACAACCCCAACUGUCGGCUUCGAGUUGGAGAACAGAGAUUAAGCCCAGAAAGUGUUUGGGUUAUUGCCUGUGUGAAUGUGAAUAUUGUCCUUGACUUCAAACAUUUAUAAAACUUCAAAUUUUACGAAAACUAGAUAAAUUUGCCAACAGAAGACAUGUCUGGUGCAACUAAAGCCAAAGCAAAAAUCCUUACGCCUGGUUCAGUAGUUCCAAUGCCAUCAACUAAGGAAGGAAAGAAGACACUUCUCCUCAGUUAUAGUGCAAUCAACACCACUUGAUGGAGAAAGAACUGAAUUCCAGGAGGAAGGAUCUUUAGAUGAUUUUUGUUCCUCAUCUCUGCAAGCAAAAAAGAAAAAAAGGAAGCCAGAGCUUUGCCUAAAGAGUAGCUUGGAGAAACCAUCCAUGGACAGUCUUUCGGAUGUUCAAGCUGGGGAGAGAAAUAGUGUGCAGAGGAAAGAUCAGUGUGGAGAAAAGUUUGCUGAGAUCGUGGACUUUGAGUUCAGGAUCAAUGACGAAGAUGAUGACAGCGACGAAUGAAGCAGGAGUUGCAACAAGUGACGGUAAAAUGAUAGAUCAAGGAAUAGCCUACUUGCUUAUGAUGGUCGUGCUUCUCGUAACAUAUCUUCUCCAUUGAUGAUUUUCAUGGAUGACACGCUUCAUGUUUCUUUAUUCCCCAGAGAGAUAGUCAAUGAGAUUAAUUGAGAUUAUCAUUUUUUUUUUCAUUUUGUUUUCAUUGCUCAUUGUUGAGUGAAAAAAAAAUGAGAUCAUG